GAUGAACGCUGGCGGCGUGCCUAAUACAUGCAAGUCGAGCGAACGGACGAGAAGCUUGCUUCUCUGAUGUUAGCGGCGGACGGGUGAGUAACACGUGGAUAACCUACCUAUAAGACUGGGAUAACUUCGGGAAACCGGAGCUAAUACCGGAUAAUAUUUUGAACCGCAUGGUUCAAAAGUGAAAGACGGUCUUGCUGUCACUUAUAGAUGGAUCAGCGCUGCAUUAGCUAGUUGGUAAGGUAACGGCUUACCAAGGCAACGAUGCAUAGCCGACCUGAGAGGGUGAUCGGCCACACUGGAACUGAGACACGGUCCAGACUCCUACGGGAGGCAGCAGUAGGGAAUCUUCCGCAAUGGGCGAAAGCCUGACGGAGCAACGCCGCGUGAGUGAUGAAGGUCUUCGGAUCGUAAAACUCUGUUAUUAGGGAAGAACAUAUGUGUAAGUAACUGUGCGCAUCUUGACGGUACCUAAUCAGAAAGCCACGGCUAACUACGUG
rnacentral:rRNA from 1 species